ensembl:lncRNA
GGAGCGGCGGCUGCUGCCCCAUCGUCCACCUCGGGCGCUCCGUCCGGGAGCGGGGCGCGGGCUGCCCGGUGACAUGGAGCAGGGAGAGAAGGGGAGAAGGCGGUGCUGAGGGAGAACGGGCGCCCGGCCGAGGGGAGCCGGGGGACUCUGGCGGCGGCACGGAGCGAUGGGGAGGCCGAGGGGUGCGGCGUGUCCUGAAAUCAGCUGUGGGACCCCGUUCUGUUUUGCUGUGAAAUGAAGCUUCACCGUGAGCGAUGGUGCCUUUUCCACGAGGGAACAAAAAUCGCCUCUGGGAAACGGCAAAGCCUCGCGGGGCUGAGAGGUGCGGUGCCACAGAGCGCUGCUUCCUGCAGGGCUGUCAGACGUGGGCACUGCGGGGCGUGCAGACAGCAGUGCUGUGCUGUGUGUGUGCCCCUGGGGCCUGUGCCGCAUCACGUCUGCUCACAUGAGGAUUUCUGUGUCUGUCAGCACCGGCAGCCCGGCCAAGGCUGUGCAGGAACAGCCGGCACAGCCCCGCACUGCACAUGUCAGCCAUGGGCAUGCUGACAACAGCAACUCAGAGGCCUCGAGACGAGGCAGAGCGCUGACAUCCCGUGAGUAGGAGUGCUGCAGAGAGCUGAGCCCUGCUUGGUCAGCACAGCCUUGGCAGCACCGCUUGGAGUCAGUCGCCCAGUGGCACAGCAGAGCCGGCAAGGCCCUGCCCCCCCUGCAAGGAACAACGCCAUGUGGAGGCAAAGCCUCGGGGUGCCCCAGCUCAGCAGGCUCUGCCCGUAGCGGUGUGAGAUGGCAGAUGCCAGGUGGGCUUUGCCUCCAGCAGAGGGGUCUGCGGGCUCCGUCAGAGAGCACAGCCAGGCGUGACCCCUCUCAGCCCAUCAGCGCACACCAGACACAUCCCUCGCGUGCUGCCUCGCCGAUGCUGUUUUGGCACUGCUGAAUAACUUUGGAGUAACUUAAUCUGAAGACAUUCGAGCACACAGUCCCCCCGCACUUGUAAAUAACAAAUAGAGAGACAGUGAGAUCAUGGCCGCCUGCUCACAGACUGGAUUCAGUGCAGAUGGAGAGCGGGGCCCUGCGGCAGCAGCACCGGGCACAUCCCAGGUGGCACCACGGGGCAGGCAGGAGGAGCUGAGCGCUGCAGGCAGCAAAACUCGGGGCUGGGGCGUGGGGCAGCAGAGGGGAAAAGCAGGAGUUAACACUCAGAAUGAAAGUUUCUGGUGUAGCUCUAAAAUGUGGUUAACCUGGCAGCUUUCCUCGCAGAGAUGCAGAUGCUGUCUGCCUUUGCCAAUAAAGGCUAUACCUGUCCUCUGAGGGACACAGCAAAUCUGGGAAAAUGCUUACAGCAGCCUCUGUUUGAGGGCUCAUGGAGAGGUAGACUCAGCGUGUAAAAAUGUUAGCAGUCUGGUUGACAUUGCAGCUCUGGCAGGAGCUUCACACAGACUGAAAAUAGCAGCUGGGGAGGUGGGAGGUCACUGGAGCCCCUGCUCUUUGCACACCAGGAGGAGUGACCCAGCGAGGCCGGGACUUGUAUGGGGGCACCAAGCUGCCAGGGCAGGGUGUGACUCUUUGGGAGAGCCACAGAGCGCCGGUGGGUGUGAGCUCUGUGUAUGUGGCUCAGGGAGGAGGAUCCUCCUGGGGGUAAAGAUCAAGUAGCUGAGGGAAAAUGCCUCUUCUGUAGGGCCUCUGCAGUGGCUCUCCCUGAGGCUCUCACAGCUCAGGCUUCAUGGGCUGAGGAAGACUUCUGUCCGGUGCAACGGCAUGAGGAGGUGCCCCUCCAGUGGUGCGGGCAGGUCGCACUGUGGCAGGUACAGGGCGUCAGCACAGCUGGACGCAAUGCUGGCCAUCAGCACACCCGUGUCAGCAGCAGGAGGUAGACAUGAAAUGCCUGUAACGGCCUUUGAAAGCGUGGCAAAGACAUCACAGCAUCUCUGAGAACAGACGGUUAUGAACCCCUGGCUUUUGUGCUGAUAAUGAAACCACAUUUCCUACCGGGCGCUGGAAGAAACAGCCUUUGUGAAUUGUGAGGCUGUGAACACUGGGUCACUGCAAGAUGAAUUAAGAGAUGUACAACCAGUGGUUCCAGGCCAAAGUGUCCCCUUGCUGUCCAUUCUUGGCUGAAGGACACUUCUCACGACUAUCACUGAAGAACUGCAAAAGGAGCCAGGUGCCACAGAUCACGUUCAAAUGGUUCCUUCAGCUGCUGCUCCCGGGUGGAAGAAGCAGUGCCUGGAGUCGUACGCCCACUCCUCUUUUCAUGAAGCUGCUCUGCUGACAGACCUGUGCACACACUGCACGUCAGGAAAUUGUCAGGACCUUGCACAAAGGCCUUCCUUGCUGCCCUGACCACCAGCAGGCUGUACCUCAGGCCUGCCUCAGCCACUGCUGUGGCUGGUUACCAAUGCAGGACCUGCUCUGCUCCUCUGGCAUGGUGGGACUGCACCUUCAGGAGGUUUGAGGCUCAAACUGAACAAAGCAGAUGUGAAUUCUCCAUUAUUUUGGAGCGCAGACAUCUAUAAAUGUCUCAGAUCCUUCACUGAACGGGACCAGGCUGACCUGGAUGCGUGAGCUCCUGGCUGAGCUUCUUUGGACUGCGCACCAUGAGAGUCCUCUUCCAACAAAUGGUCUUAGCAUGUAUGAAGCAAAUAAAAAAC